rnacentral:rRNA from 1 species
UACGAAGGGGGCUAGCGUUGCUCGGAAUCACUGGGCGUAAAGGGUGCGUAGGCGGGUCUUUAAGUCAGGGGUGAAAUCCUGGAGCUCAACUCCAGAACUGCCUUUGAUACUGAGGAUCUUGAGUCCGGGAGAGGUGAGUGGAACUGCGAGUGUAGAGGUGAAAUUCGUAGAUAUUCGCAAGAACACCAGUGGCGAAGGCGGCUCACUGGCCCGGUACUGACGCUGAGAUGCGAAAGCGUGGGGAGCAAACAGG